CCUCCCGAAGCUUAAGCUACCUACUUCUUUUGCAACCCACUCCCAUGGUGUGACGGGCGGUGUGUACAAGGCCCGGGAACGUAUUCACCGUGGCAUUCUGAUCCACGAUUACUAGCGAUUCCGACUUCAUGGAGUCGAGUUGCAGACUCCAAUCCGGACUACGACGCACUUUAUGAGGUCCGCUUGCUCUCGCGAGGUCGCUUCUCUUUGUAUGCGCCAUUGUAGCACGUGUGUAGCCCUGGUCGUAAGGGCCAUGAUGACUUGACGUCAUCCCCACCUUCCUCCAGUUUAUCACUGGCAGUCUCCUUUGAGUUCCCGGCCGGACCGCUGGCAACAAAGGAUAAGGGUUGCGCUCGUUGCGGGACUUAACCCAACAUUUCACAACACGAGCUGACGACAGCCAUGCAGCACCUGUCUCACGGUUCCCGAAGGCACAUUCUCAUCUCUGAAAACUUCCGUGGAUGUCAAGACCAGGUAAGGUUCUUCGCGUUGCAUCGAAUUAAACCACAUGCUCCACCGCUUGUGCGGGCCCCCGUCAAUUCAUUGAGUUUUAACCUGGCGGCCGUACUCCCCAG
rnacentral:rRNA from 1 species